rnacentral:rRNA from 1 species
AUGUCGCUAACCAGAUUGAAGGAGCUCAGAGCCAAGGUGGAGGAGGUCAGCCAGAGGAACCAACGGUAUCACCUCAUCAAGGGCUCUAGCUCCAUACCCACCUCUGCUAUUGGGCAGCCUAUCAGCUCCAGUGCGACGAUGUCUGCUGCCGAGGAUGCAAGGCUGCGGCGGCAGAAAGCAAAAUUGGAUCUGGUCGAGUUGAUCAAUUGCAAGGAUGAUGCGCUUCGAGUGACUGCAUUGUGGGGCACAAGUAUUAGUGAACUGGGGGAGAUAUCCGUCAUCAAAAGUGCCUAUGAAGACCCCAUGAUACACAAGAAUUUUGAUUGUUGUGCUUGGAUCACAUUGAUGCAUCCAUUCAACCAGACGGAUUUCAUUCAAAGCAUUGUUACACAAAUCUAUGUUAAUUCUCUUCAAGGGACAGGAGAAGGAAGAACAACUAUUGGAGCACAAGUUUUGAAGAUGAUGGCAACAACGAAAGAAGACGGUUUGGCUCAUGUGUUCAAGAGAUUCUUGAUGCAGAAGACAGAGGAAGAUAGCUUGGUUUAUGAGUUCAAGAGGUUUUUGAAUGACCAGAGUUAUCUAAUUGUACUCAAUGACUUACACACCAUUGAAGAGUGGGAUUGCAUUAAAACAUGUUUCCCAAACAACAAAAAAGGAAGCCGAAUCAUAGUAUCCACUGAGCAAGUUGGAGUUGCAAGCUUAUGCAUAGGAGCAGAGGAAGAAGCUUUAGUGCAUAAGAAGUUAUUUUCUGACCAGUCUCUUUAUGCGUUCUACACAAAGGUUUCUCAGGAAGGAAGGAAUUCAAAGGAAGAAAGGUCCAUCCCAUUUGAAGCCUCUGCUGGUGUUAACAUCUCUACACACAAGAACAUCCUCACUCGAAUGGAGACAAUGGCCACACUAGAGGAAUUGCCCCGGCAGCCGGAGGCCCCGACAUAG